GAUGAACGCUGGCGGCGUGCUUAGCACAUGCAAGUCGAACGGUGAACGAGGGAGCUUGCUCCCUCCGGAUCAGUGGCGAACGGGUGAGUAACACGUGAGCAAUCUGCCCUGGACUCUGGGAUAAGCGUUGGAAACGACGUCUAAUACCGGAUACGAGGCGUGGGGGCAUCCCCAACGCCUGGAAAGAACUUCGGUCCAGGAUGAGCUCGCGGCCUAUCAGCUAGUUGGUGAGGUAACGGCUCACCAAGGCGACGACGGGUAGCCGGCCUGAGAGGGUGACCGGCCACACUGGGACUGAGACACGGCCCAGACUCCUACGGGAGGCAGCAGUGGGGAAUAUUGCACAAUGGGCGCAAGCCUGAUGCAGCAACGCCGCGUGAGGGACGACGGCCUUCGGGUUGUAAACCUCUUUUAGCAGGGAAGAAGCGAAAGUGACGGUACCUGCAGAAAAAGCACCGGCUAACUACGUGCCAGCAGCCGCAGUAAUAC
rnacentral:rRNA from 1 species